GGCUCAGUGGUCUAGGGGUAUGAUUCGCGCUUCGGGUGCGCGAGGUCCCGGGUUCAAAUCCCGGCUAAACCC
rnacentral:tRNA from 1 species